UGGGGGAUAUUGCACAAUGGGCGAAAGCCUGAUGCAGCGACGCCGCGUGGGGGAUGAAGGCUUUCGGGUUGUAAACCUCUUUCGCUAUCGAACAAGGCCCGCUUAGGGUGGGUUGAGGGUAGGUGGAGAAGAAGCGCCGGCUAACUAUGUGCCAGCAGCCGCGGUAAUACGUAGGGCGCGAGCGUUGUCCGGAAUUAUUGGGCGUAAAGGGCUUGUAGGCGGCUUGUUGCGCCUGCUGUGAAAACGCGGGGCUUAACUUCGAGCGUGCAGUGGGUACGGGCAGGCUUGAGUGUGGUAGGGGUGACUGGAAUUCCAGGUGUAGCGGUGGAAUGCGCAGAUAUCUGGAGGAACACCGAUGGCGAAGGCAGGUCACUGGGCCAUUACUGACGCUGAGGAGCGAAAGCAUGGGUAGCGAACAGG
rnacentral:rRNA from 1 species